ACGGGAGGCAGCAGUGAGGAAUAUUGGACAAUGGAUGGAAGUCUGAUCCAGCCAUGCCGCGUGAAGGAUUGAUGCCCUACGGGUUUUGAACUUCUUUUGUACGGGGGCAAUAAGGGCCACGCGUGGCCCGAUGAGAGUACCGUACGAAUAAGCAUCGGCUAAUUCCGUGCCAGCAGCCGCGGUAAUACGGAAGAUGCGAGCGUUAUCCGGAUUUAUUGGGUUUAAAGGGAGCGUAGGCGGCCUUUUAAGUCAGUGGUCAAAUGUCAGUGCCCAACACUGGCCUGCCAUUGAUACUGGAGGGCUUGAAUACACACAAGGAAGGUGGAAUUCGUCGUGUAGCGGUGAAAUGCUUAGAUAUGACGAAGAACUCCGAUUGCGAAGGCAGCCUUCUGGAGUGCGAUUGACGCUGAGGCUCGAAAGCGCGGGUAUCAAACAGGAUUAGAUACCCUGGUA
rnacentral:rRNA from 1 species